rnacentral:rRNA from 1 species
CCUACGGGGGACUGCAGUGAGGAAUAUUGGUCAAUGGACGAGAGUCUGAACCAGCCAAGUAGCGUGAAGGAUGACUGCCCUAGGGGUUGUAAAUUUCUUUUUUAAAGGAAUAAAACAAGGCAUGUGUGCCUUUUUGCAUGUACUUUAUGAAUAAGGAUAGGCUAACUCCGUGCCAGCAGCCGCGGUAAUACGGAGGAUCCGAGCGUUAUCCGGAUUGAUUGGGUUUAAAGGGAGCGUAGAUGGGUUGUUAAGUCAGUUGUGAAAGUUUGCGGCUUAACCGUAAAAGUGCAAUUGAAACUGGCAGUCUUGAGUACAGGUGAGGUAGGCGGAAUUCGUGGUGUAGCGGUGAAAUGCUUAGAUAUCACGAAGAACCCCGAUUGCGAAGGCAGCUUACUAAACUGUUACUGACAUUGAUGCUCGAAAGUGUGGGUAUCAAACAGGAUUAGAUACCCUAGUAGUC